CCUACGGGGUGCAGCAGUGAGGAAUAUUGGUCAAUGGGCGAGAGCCUGAACCAGCCAAGUCGCGUGAGGGAGUACUGCCCUAUGGGUUGUAAACCUCUUUUGUCGGGGAGCAAAAGCCGGACGUGUCCGGCUGUGAGAGUACCCGAAGAAAAAGCAUCGGCUAACUCCGUGCCAGCAGCCGCGGUAAUACGGAGGAUGCGAGCGUUAUCCGGAUUUAUUGGGUUUAAAGGGUGCGCAGGCGGAUUUUUAAGUCAGCGGUAAAAUCGUGGGGCUCAACCCCAUCCAGCCGUUGAAACUGGGGAUCUAGAGUGUGCGAGAGGUAUGCGGAAUGCGUGGUGUAGCGGUGAAAUGCAUAGAUAUCACGCAGAACCCCGAUUGCGAAGGCAGCAUACCGGUGCACAACUGACGCUCAGGCACGAAAGCGUGGGUAUCGAACAGGAUUAGAUACCCGUGUAGUC
rnacentral:rRNA from 1 species